rnacentral:piRNA from 1 species
UGACUGUGCUUGCAGAAGUGCCCACUCAGU